UACGAAGGGGGCUAGCGUUGUUCGGAAUUACUGGGCGUAAAGCGCACGUAGGCGGAUCGAUCAGUCAGGGGUGAAAUCCCAGGGCUCAACCCUGGAACUGCCUUUGAUACUGUCGAUCUGGAGUAUGGAAGAGGUGAGUGGAAUUCCGAGUGUAGAGGUGAAAUUCGUAGAUAUUCGGAAGAACACCAGUGGCGAAGGCGACCUACUGGACACAUAUUGACGCUGAGGUGCGAAAGCGUGGGGAGCAAACAGG
rnacentral:rRNA from 1 species